rnacentral:lncRNA from 1 species
CAGAGCAAACUGAGACAUAAAGUUAUCCACAGGCGUUCAGAAAGCAGCUGGCAGAAUUCACCUGGAGCCUGGGAAUCCUGAUGUCCAUUCCUCCAGUUAACCCACAGCACCUCUGGUCUCAGUUAUCCUUUUCCUGACUAUAGGAUUAUCCCAGGAGUAUUGAAGCUCUUCUAUGACAAGAGCACUGUCUGUCUCAGACUGGCUCCAGGAAAUGGACGCUAUUCCGCAGAAGCCAGAAGAUUUCGUGGAAGAGCCAUGGCCUGUUUCCAGGUUGCAGUUCACCCACUGCCCUGGGGAGUGUCAUUAGUGGGAGGGAAGUGGAGUUGGGAUUUAAAGGCAUGAGGAGAGGAAAGAAAAAUGACAGCAGGAUGGAGAAAAAUCCUGUCAAUCCUUAUGAAGGAUUGACACUUGUUUGGCCACAUUAAAACGUUGUGCUGAUCAUCUAAAUAAAACAGUGAGCCAGCUCCAGAAGUGAUGUGUAAAUCACGGAUCAGGGAGGGACUGACACGCUGAAAGCAAAAUCAGUGGCACUGGUUUCACUGGGGAGGAGGUUGGAGCAACCUAUGAGCUCAACAAAAGAGGUGCAGUGUAGGGAGGAAUUGUUCUCCUUUAUUUCCUAUCUUUCUCUAAUUUGCACAGCAAUAUGAAAUGGAAAUCAUGGGGUCAUCUUUCAAAGGUGGUGUUUAUAUAUUUUCAUAUAUUUGUAAGUCGUGAGGUCAUACACAUAAAUACAUAUAAAAGAGUGGAAAGCUGCCUAAUUUGUUCUCUGUUCCAGGUUGCUUUGUGUGCAGGUUCACAGUGGUGAAAUAGCUGUACCAGCAGGAGUGUGUAACAGUGCUCUGUGGGCAUGUGGAAGACUGGAGAUUCAGCUACCUGUAGAAGUACACGAUAUUGCCAUAAUUUGAUAAGUUUCCUGGAAUUAAUCUUGCCUCUUGAAUGGAAACCUUUGGAAGCAACUUGUAUGAAACACAUGGAAAAACUUCCACUUGCUUGAAGAAACAGAGAAAAUCAGCAUUACCAGGAUCUCACAGGAUGAAACCUCCUCUCACCCCUAGAAUGGAACUGCAUAAACACAAAAUUCACCUUAAGCUCUUGGCUUCUGAAACCUAAAGCAGGAUCAGCAGCAUAUUGGUGCAGGAAUCAGGACACCUGGAAUGUCUUUGAGGUGUGUGCGAAUUUACAGAACCAUGACAAAGUAACUUUUUAACUGUUUCAGUGCAACAUAAAGCCAUAAAAUCAGUAGACGUAUUGUGCCUGUGUUUUAUACUAAAUGAAGUUUAGACUUGGUUUCAAAUUCUCUUUUUUUGAAAUAGUGGAGAAGCAAUGAUCACUGUUUUCUCUUGUGCUCUGUCUGUGCUGUGAAGGAGGUUGGUGUCCAAUAUUUGCUAGUUUUGUGUUAAACAC